UAGACUUGACUGUUGGGACCCACUUUUCUUCCUUUUCCCCAUCUCGUCUAGCCAGCUGCUUCUUCUCCGCUAGAUAUUCUCAGCCCGACGCCUCCAAAAUCCUCCAAGACGCCAACCCAGCCCAGUCUAGAGCAUCUGCUGCAAUCUCUUCUCCGCCACCGGCCGGACCCAUGCUAGCCACCUCCCCGCGCUGAGGCCGCGAUCCUCUCCGGUGGCUGGGCUGGAGGAGGGCUCCAAGCCAUGCCAGAUCCUUCAAUUUCGGCACGGGGCUCCAUGCGGCGGCUCGGCGACGAGGAGAUGGCGUCGGAGAGCCUCGGCGUCCUCCUCCCGGCCGCUUCCGCUGCCAAGAGCCACCUCCCGCCUCGGCCUCUUGUUCCCGCUCGCUGUAGCCACCACGAGCGCGUCGGUGUGGGGCCGACAAAGUCAACUACUCCCUCUUAAAAUUUUAAGCACGAACUUCAAUAGAAGUCUUAGAGCAUGUACAGCGUUGAUCAACAAGUGAUGCUAAGAGGGUUCUGAAAAGUGUUGGAACCAAUGGUAGCCCUUGGAGCACCUCUAGUUAAGAAAAAUCUACUAGAACCGGAUCACGUAGUUGCAUCGGUUCUAAAGGAAUCUUUGACCUGCUUUGGCCGAUGUGCGCACAAGAGCAGGGGAGUUUGGUGGGAUUUUUUAUUGGAGAUAUCUCUGACUAGUGGGUUCAAGUAUAGAUGCUAAGAUUAGUACAUAUUGCAACAGUUUUUUGGUUUGUAGCAUCGGUGCUUGUUAUAAACCAAACGGAAGGUGUAUCGUUUAAAGUUGGGGCUUCGACUUUACUCGAGUCUAGCAAAAAACAUUUAGCUAGACACGCUGCAACGGCUAGACUCAGUCUUAUCUUUUUCUAGCACCUGCUUGGCAAACAUUGCACAUGCUCUAACCUUACUUGUGGCAGCGAUAACUUUUUCUUUUUUUGAAAAUGAGGAUAUCCUUGUCCUAUGCAUACUUGCAGCGAUAGCUACAUCCAGAUGCCUGUUCAGGCGCCUAAAUCUGAAGCAAGAGCGAACUGGCGAGGUUGUGACCGUAGCAAAGAUGCCGACCACCACUAUGACAGGCCAUGUUCAUAUGAUCACAUCGGCAGACUUCACACCUAGGGCCAACAAUAAACAGGAACUCAAUCGUGUUUAAGAGUUAUGAAAAAAAGGAAAAUCUAGCAAACAAUAAACAAUGUUGAGUAGUGAAAUCAACUGGUUUCUUUUUUGUUUUUCCUGUUCUUCAAAUGCAAAUCAGUUUGUUUGAAUUUAUA